AACCAUAGAAACCUGCGGAGUACCUGCGGAGGGAUCAUUACAGAGUUGCAAAACUCCCUAAACCAUUGUGAACGUUACCUAACCGUUGCUUCGGCGGGCGGCCCGGGUCCUUCCCGGCGCCCCUCGGCCCUCGCGGGCGCCCGCCGGAGGUAAACCAAACUAUUGCAUUGUAUGGCCUCUCUGAGUCUUCUGUACUGAAUAAGUCAAAACUUUCAACAAUGGAUCUCAGAUCGGAAGAGC
rnacentral:misc_RNA from 1 species